CCAGCACUUUGGGAGGCCGAGGCGGGCGGAUCACGAGGUCAGGAGAUCGAGACCACGGUGAAACCCCGUCUCUACUACAAAUACAAAAAAAUUAGCCGGGCGUGGUGGCGAGCGCCUGUAGUCCCAGCUACUCAGAGAGGCUGAGGCAGGAGAAUGGCGUGAACCCGGGAGGCGGAGCUUGCAGUGAGCCGAGAUUGCACCACUGCACUCCAGCCUGGGCGACAGAGCAAGACUCUGUCUCAAAAAAAAAAAAAAAAAAAAAAUUAUAGUCAAAGUUUUAUUCUCUGAAGCAAAAGACAAAAAGUAUCGAAGAGCUUUCCCUAAGGGAGACAUCAUAAACAGCCCACCUGACAUCCCAUUUCCUGUUCUGAAGCAGCUACGGCACCAGUACAGCUGAUACUCAAGGUUCAGAUCAGAAGAGGAGGCUUCUCACCCUGCAGCAGGGACCUGUGAGCAUGGCAUGCCCUGGCUUCCUGUGGACACUUGUGAUCUCCACCUGUCUUGAAUUCAGCAUGGCUCAGAGAGUCACUCAGUCUCAACCAGAGAUGUCUGUGCAGGAGGCAGAGACUGUGACCCUGAGCUGCACAUAUGACACCACUGAGAGUGAUUAUUAUUUGUUCUGGUACAAGCAGCCUCCCAGCAGGCAGAUGAUUCUCAUUAUUCGCCAAGAAGCUUAUAAGCAACAGAAUGCAACGGAGAAUCGUUUCUCUGUGAACUUCCAGAAAGCAGCCAAAUCCUUCAGUCUCAAGAUCUCAGACUCACAGCUGGGGGACACCGCGAUGUAUUUCUGUGCUUAUAGGAGCACACAGUGAGACAAGCAACAGCGAGAGGCUUACAGAAACCUCAGACCUCAGCAUCUGUGCAAAGGUCAGGGGGAAGUGUUCAGGGUUAUAGGAACAUAAAGAGGAAAUAAUUGUCUUCCCUAAAGAAAAAAAAAUGUAUCUGACUAUAGGAAACACAGAGGGGAUGUCUAUAAGCUGUAAUUUUUGAAAUAGUAAUAAAAUAAUGAAUCCACUCAUGCUUUAUAGAUUUUCAAAAUACCUUCACAUGUUAAUCCAUUAAACCUGCACAAGCCUGUGUGUUACAUAGGUCAUAUCAGAUAUUCUAGGCAUCACUGCUAUCCAGAGAAUCUUAGAGCUUGACCUAAAGCUAUAUUCUUUUAGAAUUAUAUAUUUUUGCUUUAUUAUUUUAAUUACUAUCUAUCUGUACAUCCCAUAAUCAUAUCAAAGGCAAUAUAUACAAAACUGAAUUUCUUACCAUCUCCACAAACCUUUAUUUUUUCUUCAUUUUUUUUCUCCUCAGCCUUGCUCAAGAUUCAGGAACACAAUAAAAGUUUGCUAUUACUGGGUUUCCAGUUUGGGGAAUUUCUUCACCCUCGACUUUCCAGCCUGGGCUAUCAGAUUUUUAUGCAUACCUUAUUACUUUCUAAUUAUAACACGCUGCAAAAAACACUACAUCAUGUCAGUCUCACUGUUUCCCAUCCAUCCAUCAUUCUCUCUGGCUUUAACCUGGCUUCAUCCUGUAUUUCUUAAUGUUCUUUAAAGCAUCAUUUGUCUUGACAUAAGAAAGUAAGGAAAGAAAGCAAAGAACUAUCAAGUAGGAUUUCAUGUACUGCUAGUACUCACCAGCAAAUGCU